GUGUUUCGCUCUGCAGCACAUAUACUAAAAUUGGAAUGAUACAGAGAAGAUUACAUGGCUCCUUAUGCUAAGAUGAAGACGAAUUCGUGAAGCUGCCCAUAUUUUU